CCUACGGGGGGCAGCAGUAGGGAAUUUUCGUCAAUGGGCGCAAGCCUGAACGAGCAAUGCCGCGUGAACGAGGAAGGUCUUCGGAUCGUAAAGUUCUGUUGAAGGGGAAAAAGAGCGGAGAGAGGAAAUGGUCUCCGAUUGAUAUUACCCUUCGAGGAAGUCACGGCUAACUACGUGCCAGCAGCCGCGGUAAUACGUAGGUGGCGAGCGUUAUCCGGAUUUACUGGGUGUAAAGGGCGUGUAGGCGGGAGAGCAAGUCAGAUGUGAAAACUACAGGCUUAACCUGUAGCCUGCAUUUGAAACUG
rnacentral:rRNA from 1 species